UGGCUCAGAACGAACGCUGGCGGCGCGUCUUAAGCAUGCAAGUCGAACGGCAAGAGGUAGCAAUACCUCCUAGAGUGGCGGACUGGUGAGUAACACGUGGGUGACAUACCCUUCAGAUGGGGAUAGCUAUUAGAAAUAGUAGAUAAUACCGAAUACGAGCACAGGGGUUAGAGAUCUGUGAGGAAAGGAGCUAAGGCUCCGCUGAAGGAAUGGCCUGCGGCCCAUUAGCUAGUUGGUGAGGUAAGAGCCCACCAAGGCGAUGAUGGGUAUCCGGCCUUAGAGGGUGAACGGACACAUUGGGACUGAGAUACGGCCCAGACUCCUACGGGAGGCAGCAGCUAAGAAUAUUCCGCAAUGGACGAAAGUCUGACGGAGCGACGCCGCGUGGAUGAAGAAGGCCGGAAGGUUGUAAAAUCCUUUUGAAACUGAAGAAUAAGCGUUGUAGGGAAUGACAGCGUGGUGACAGUAGGUUUUGAAUAAGCAACGGCUAAUUACGUGCCAGCCGCAGC
rnacentral:rRNA from 1 species